AUUGAACGCUGACGGCAGGCCUAACACAUGCACGUCGAACGAGUGGCGGACGGGUGAGUAAUGUCUCGGAAACUGCCUGAUGGAGGGGGAUAACUACUGGAAACGGUAGCUACUCCCGCAUACCAGCCGAUGUGCCCAGAUGUGCUUAGCUUGUUUGUGGUGUAACGGCUCACUAAGGCGAUGAUCCCUCGCUGGUCUUAGAGGAUGACACUCCCCACUAGAACUGAGCCACGGUCCAAUCUUUUACGGGAGGCAGCAGUGGGGAAUAUUGCACAAUGGGCGAAAGCCUGAUGCAGCCAUGCCGCGUGUAUGAAGAAGGCCUUCGGGUUGUAAAGUACUUUCAGCGGGGAGGCGUUACCCGCAGAAGAAGCACCGGCUAACUCCGUGCCAGCAGCCGCGGUAAUAC
rnacentral:rRNA from 1 species